ACUACUUCAGGCAACAGGCUCCAGUGGGAUUACUCACCUCUCUACCACCCACAGCUACAAGGGAGCAGGAUGUGCUUCUGUUGAGAGACUGGGUAGUCAGUGUUUCUGUCUUAACUGACUUGAUUCUUAAAGUUUUGAAGCAAUCCAAGGAAAAGCUGCACUGUGAUCAAUGGGAAGCAGAGAUUGAAAGGAAAAGGGAUGUAAAUGACUGAGUACCUCUGUUUUGCUGAGGAAAGUUAAUGCUAUAUAGGUCAGAGUGCAGAUGUGCUGCCAGCAAACACAAGGAAGAACCAAGGUGCUUGUCCAAGUGUUUUUCCAACAGCCAGGAUUUACAGGUUGCUCCAUGGCCUUUGGCAGUACAGAUGGCUUUCUCUCUGCACAUCACCAUGCUGCUGAACAUACCCUACCGUUUCCUCUCUCUUGAAGGUACUCUGCUGCUUCUCCUUGCAACUGACCAGGACAGCUGUAAACUUGCAAGGGAUAUGAAGAGAUGGACGUAGGCACCAUAUGGACUGGUGGGCCCUAAUCUGCUGGAGCUGCCCCACUCUUGCUGUGUGUGACAACAAAACAUGACUUACUGGUGCAGCAGAUCACAUUGUUAAUAUGUGCCAGGUGACUUGAUUUUUUUCUUUUCCCCAUCUCUUCCCUUAAGAACUUAAAGUAAAUUUUUAUUCUUU